GUUAAAAUGGACCAGUUUGCAAAUCCUCCCUGCCUGAUAUUUGCUUUAUGUUGGUCUUGUUUCAGAUUGUGACUUGUUAGCAUUGGACACAAUAUCAGCACUCAACUAUUGAAGAUGACGAGCUCCCAGAAUACCUUGGUGAUGGAGUUAGUUAGGCAUAAAUUAGUGAUUUUGUUUAUGUAGUUUGUUAUGUUUCAAUAUAUAGUCCAUAUUGCAUCCAAAGACACAACUUGUUGGUUAGACUAAGUUUUGAAUUUCUUGU